rnacentral:lncRNA from 1 species
UUAUACCACAAACCAUGAGUGUAAGAAUUUAAGUACGAAGAAUACAACUUGACGAAAGUGCUUGACGUCCGGAUGAAUCCCUUCACUCCUUCUUCCAAUCUCUCUCACAAGUGUUUCUCUCCCUUUUCUCUCUAAAAAGGCUAUCUCUAUAUUAUUCUAUAUGAUACAAAGUUAGUUGUCUCUAAUCUCUAUCAAAACCCUAAUAUAUAUAAGAGUUUUCUUAAUUUACAAGAAAAUAAAAUAAUAUCCUAAAACUGGUUGGAUUCUGAUGCUGAAAUUCGUAGGCUUCUGUUCAGGCCUGAUUCUGGGCUGAUCCAGUUGGAUUUUGACAUCUGGACCACCUUAAACUUGUAGAGAAUUUCAAUAUCUUCGCGUGGGCUGUUGAAUCGCCCAAUUCUGACGUCCAGAACUCAAGUUACGGCCCAAACAAGAUUUGAUUCGCUGGCUAUCCAUAAAGUCCGAAUUUCCAUCUGAUUAAGCCCAAAUAAGCUUGAUUUAAUCCAACUUUAGGAAUAUUUAUUUUCCUGCCAAUAAACACUUAAAAUCAAUUAGUAAUAACCCGAUUAUUUACAAAAUACUAAAAUUAUGGGAAUAAAAUCAUAUAAAAACAUAUAUAAAUAUAUGCUCUAUCAAAUAUCCCCACACUUAGUGUUUUGCACGUCCUCGGGCAAAUAAAAUAAAUAAAACUAACACCUAAUAGAUAUAUACCACUUCCGUAGGUGAUCACGGUUGCAUUUGGCAUAUGCAACAAGCCCUUUAAACCCCUAGGCAGCCCUAGUGGACGAGUAAGGUCUCGUGAGGGUCUAUAGUGAAUGUACCCACAAAAUCCAUCUAGCUCAUGUAAUAAUAAUAUAGAUGACCACAAGAACACAAGCAUGGAGUGCAACUACAUGAAUGCAACUAAUAAAUGAAUAUGUAUGGAUCCCAAUAAUAAUAGUAUAUUCCAAGUCAGUGAUAACCAUCAGAUUAUGCAACAAGUUUAGACACAUCAAGCUCACACCGCAAUAAAACCACUUAGUGAACACAAGUACAGAGUGUGCGUGUGUGCUUAGCUUAACAACAUGCUCUUUUUUGAAUCACGAACAGAGAAACACUAGUUUCAACAUGACAAGUCAUGCGAGUUAAUAGCUCCCAAGUUGAGUACUAGAAUAGAUCUUAAACACUUCGUUACUUAGAACUAGCUAUCAUUCAAGUUUACAAGGGAUUUCUAUGUCUUCUUUUUAUUUCUAUAAUACUACUAUAUAUAAUUUUUUAUUCUUCUUUUUUUUUCACAUGCUUGGUCUAAGGUCGGGACGCUCCUCAGGGUAAGUGAGUUACGACCACCAAAAGACUUCACAAGCUCAAUUUUUUUUUUUUUUUUUUAAAGUCAAGUAAUUCUCCAGUAAUCAAGGAUAAUGAAAAGUCACCAAGAAAUUUAUAUUUCUAGUACAAUUGCACUUAAUACCAGCACAAGUACAUGGAUCGUCCCUUUCAUUUUUGACACCCAUUGAUCUCAAAGGAGUGCUUGAUACUUUAUUGAUUUUUUCUUUUUUUUUUCUUUUUUUUUUUUGAAGAAAACAUUUACACCCCACAAUCACCUCAAACUCAAGCAUUUACGUACUAAGCUCAAAAGAGAAUAGUCAAAAUUCUAAUCAUCAACAAGAGGCUACCCCUCAAGAAGCAAGUAUAUCUAAGUCUCAAUUCAAUAUUUAAGAGCAUAAUAAGCUUGUGUCAAUAAAUAAACUCUGCACUAGUGACACUGCACAUGUAACAUCACUAAUAUGUGAUCAUAGGCAUAGCAACAAUUAAUCAAAAACAAGCUACACAUAGUAUCAUCAUAGGUUACUAACUUGGACUAUUACAUGGGAUCAUGAUAUGCUAUGAUAUGCAAUGAAACAUACAUGUUAUGCAACUGUAUGAACUAAUGUAUGCAAUGUAUGAGUGUUUAUCCUAGCAUGGUAUGAUCAUCUAACUAUUUUACAAGGCUAUAAUUAUUUUUGAUUUUUAAAUUUUAUAAUUUUUUUGUCUUUUUUUUUUAAAAUAUUAUAACAUACUAUUGAGAACACAUCCCCACACUUAAAUGAGUCAAUGUCCUCAAUGACACACUAAUACUCCUCCUAUAAAUAAUAGAAAAGUAAGAAUACUCCCCUAUGCAUACGCAUGAAGUGCCGUUUGAAAAAUAAGCGAAGUGUGUUGCUUCUAAGUCGAUGCACCGCGGGCACCUUAACCAUGCCCAUGGUGCAAAUCAUUCUGCCCGGACUUCAUAAACUGACCUUCUGGACCUUAAAAUCCGAUCUCCACCGUUCAGAAUUUAGAUAUUAGUGUAAGGAAGAUGCUGUCCAAAAUUCAGGACGAUCCGACCGUUGAAACUCCGGGAAACGCAAAAACAAUGCAGCUGAUGCAACCAGAAAAAUUGCUGCGAAUUUUUUUAUUUUUGCACCUGUAACAACCACUUCAAACAAACACAUCAAGGUAACUUGUGGGAGUAAAAACAAAUCAAAAUCUACCUAAUAUUAUAAUCAUGGGUUGCCUCCCAAGAAGCGCUUGUUUAUUGUCAUUAGCUCGACUUAUUCACACAAGUAGCAAAACUAAUGUGGUGAAAAAGCAAAUAAAUGCACAUACCUACGAAUCAAUAAUAUAAUUAUGAUGUGCAAAUAUAUCUUUGAUCCACAAACAUAUAAGAAAAUUAAAAUGGACCACACUUGCUCAAGAGACUUCAAAAAAUCAAAGUAGCUAGAAAAGUCGUCAGAAUAAUCAUCAUAAGUACGACUCAUAAACUCUUCCCAAACUGGAUCCUUAUACUCCAAAGCAAAAUUAUCAAGUAUCACAUUCUUCUCAAGUAUAAUUGGAAACUCAUCAAUUUUUAUCUCAUCUACCAAUUCGUUGAGCACAACAUUAUCUUCUAAAUUUGGUAGAACUUCAGCUACAUCCAAUAUAUCACUUUCAAGCAAGGGACAAUUGUCAUCUAAACAAAUUGAUUCAUUAGACAUAAAAUUUUCAUCAUAUGCUAAAUAAGUAUCAUGACAAAGUGGAAAAUCGACACAAGGAGGAAUCCUAAAACAACCAUCAUGCAUCACAAGUUGAACAUCCAUAAUAAACGUAUUUCUUUUAGCAUUCUCCUCGUACCAACUUAUCGAAUCUGGUAAAUUAUAAUGCCUACAAUUAUCCAUUAAAAGCAACUCCCAUGGUCAAUCAAAGAACACUUGUAAACUAUUAAGAACCAAGGAUUUUAAGUCUCACAAUUCUCAUAUCAAUCUCCCGAUCUAAUACUCAAAUUGUGUCCAUCAUAUCAUGUACUAGAAUUAUAACUCCUCUCCCGAUUCGUUAUAACUCCUAGAGAUUCAAUUAAAAGUUAGCUACUCUUUUAAUUGUAUAAAGCGCUCAAUGACAGAUUAACAAAUCAAGAGAAAACACAAUCCAACUAAACAAACAUAAUAAGCCAAAGAAUACUACCUAACUCUUGGAUUAAGGAAUUAGCUACUCAUGAUAAGAUGAAACAAAUAUGUAUUUAUACCACAGACCAUGAGAGUAAGAAUAUAAGUACGAAGAAUACAACUUGACGAAAGGGCUUGAAGUCCGGAUGAAUCCCUUCACUCCUUCUUUCAAUCUCUCUCACAAGUGUUUCUCUCCCUUUUCUCUCUAAAAAGGCUAUCUCUAUGUUAUUCUAUAUGAUACAAGUUAGUUGUCUCUAAUAUCUAUCAAACCCUAAUAUAUAUAUGAGUUUUCUUAAUUUACAAGAAAAUAAAAUAAUAUCCUAAAACUAGUUGGAUUCUGAUGCUGAAAUUCGUAGGCUUCUGUUCAGGCCUGAUUCUGGGUUGAUCCAGUUGGAUUUUGACAUCUGGACCACCUUAAACUUGUAGAUAAUUUCAAUAUCUUCGCGUGGGCUGUUGAAUCGCCCAAUUCUGACGUCCAGAACUCAAGUUACGGCCCAAACAAGAUUUGAUUCGCUGGCUAUCCAUAAAGUCCGAAUUUCCAUCUGAUUAAGCCCAAAUAAGCUUGAUUUAAU